rnacentral:rRNA from 1 species
GUGCAUGGCAGACGGGUGAGUAACGCGUGGGGAAUCUACCUCUUUGUGGGGAAUAACGCUCCGAAAGGAGUGGUAAUACCGCAUGAGAUCCAUGGCUGGAAUGUUGUGGAUGAAACCUGGGGACCUUCGGGCCUGGGGCAAGGAGAGGAUCCUGCGUCUGAUUAGCUAGUUGGUGAGGUAACGGCCCACCAAGGCGACGAUCAGUAGCCGGCCUGAGAGGGUGAUCGGCCACACUGGAACUGAGACACGGUCCAGACUCCUACGGGAGGCAGCAGUGGGGAAUUUUGCGCAAUGGGCGAAAGCCUGACGCAGCAACGCCGCGUGGGUGAUGAAGGUCUUCGGAUCGUAAAACCCUGUCGUCGGGGACGAAGGUGGAGGGGUUAAUAGCCUCUUUGCUUGACGGUACCCGGAGAGGAAGCCCCGGCUAACUCUGUGCCAGCAGCCGCGGUAAUACAGAGGGGGCAAGCGUUAUUCGGAAUUAUUGGGCGUAAAGGGCGCGUAGGCGGCUUUUUAAGUGAGAUGUGUAAUCCCUGAGCUCAACUUGGGAACUGCAUCUCAUACUGGGAGGCUAGAGUACUGGAGAGGGUGGUAGAAUUCCACGUGUAGCGGUGAAAUGCGUAGAGAUGUGGAGGAAUACCAGUGGCGAAGGCGGCCACCUGGACAGUAACUGACGCUGAGGCGCGAAAGUGUGGGUAGCAAACAGGAUUAGGUACCCUGGUAGUCCACACUGUAAACGAUGAACACUUGGUGUGGAGGGAGUUGACCCCUUCCGUGCCGU